GUUGAAUCCCCUGUGGGCACGUAGAGAAGUUUUCAAGUUUGUGUAUUAGGUUUCGCUCUCCUCAGAAUGAAAAGAUCUCCCCCCACACGUUAGUCAGCUGACUUGUAGCCUCAUCUGCGAAUUCUAUGUCGUACUUGUAAAGUUCUAAAUCGUAUCUGUCUCAUUGAAGUUAGACUGGAACUAUUCCGCCGGUUACUCAACAGGUGACGUUGUAGGAAGCCUGUAAGAGCUUUACAGAAGUGUCGUAGCCUACUUUGGGGAGAACAGGACAUAAAAGACCUUGCCCAAGCGUAAGGUUAUCUGUUCUCCAAAAAGCGUUGCGUGCGUGUCAUUCAUAAUGCAGAAACAGAAGGGAUCUCCUUUAGCUCCUCCUAGGCCCACCGAAGAGGAGCUUGACAAUCCAACCAAACACAGUCUGGAAAUGGAUAAGGAUAUUGAAUUCAAGACUGAAUGGUACUACCCGCUGGACAACAACGAAGGAAGUAGUGAGCUUGCUCCAAAAAAGAAAUCAGGCAUGAUGGGGAUGAUGCAGAAAGUCAACCCAUUCAAAUCCUCUUCUCAGAGCUCCACAGCUGGACCACGAGCAGAGGCCUCAGUGGGGACUGCAGGAGGACAAGGCCCAGGCACCAAACAG
ensembl:lncRNA